AAAUGAUGCCACUUCCGUUUUUUUUUUUAGGGGUUGCUUUUUUUUGUUUUUUUUAAAAAAAAAUAAAAAAAAAUUGUAUCAUGUAGAUAUUAUACAUUUGUUUCAAAAACUGGAUA
rnacentral:ribozyme from 14 species